UACGUAGGGGGCAAGCGUUGUUCGGAAUUACUGGGCGUAAAGGGCGCGUAGGCGGCACGGCAAGUCAGGAGUGAAAGCCCGGGGCUCAACCCCGGAAUGUCUUUUGAAACUGCCGAGCUAGAGUGCGGAAGAGGCAACUGGAAUUCCCAGUGUAGCGGUGAAAUGCGUAGAUAUCUGGAGGAACACCGGUGGCGAAGGCGACAUCCUGGACCGGUAUUGACGCUGAGGCGCGAAAGCCAGGGGAGCAAACGGG
rnacentral:rRNA from 1 species